GGGGAUUGGUCCCAGGACCCCUGCUGACAUCACAGACAGGUGCAGAGGACCGGUCCGGAACCCUUUCCCGGCAGGUGGGACCACCAGGACGGGACGCUGACUCCCAGCCCCUGCCGUCUGCCCCUGACAAGCUCCCAGCCUCAUGCCCCCCUAAGUGCGUCCCAACCACAGUGGGCCCCGACGUCCUGCCCUCACAAACAGGCCUUGGCGAGGGCCGUUCCUUCUGCUGGGAGCGGCCUCCUCAUCUCAGGUCUCGGAUGAGUGUCACAUUCACAGUGACACUCUCUCUGUUCCCUUAGACUUGGCCAAGCCACGGAUGGUUUGCCAAGCAGGGAUGGUUUGCCAGUUCAGCUUCCUGGACCCAGACUUUUUUGGCCUCCAUUCCGCCUCCCCUUUGUCUUCACGGCCCAAGAUGGCGGCCCGAGCUCAAGCCCUCACAUCUCUGUCCCAGGCAUCAGGAGGAAGGAGAGGACAAAGAAGAAGCAGGUCACAGGGUGAUCACCCAACUGCCAUUUGGGGACCGUCCCCAGAGCUGUCACAUGACACUUCUGCUUAUCCCACUGGUCACACAACUACUGUCACACAAGGGAUGCUGGGAAAUAUUUUCUCCCCUGAAAACUGGAGCACCUGGGCCACCUGGUGUGCCUCAGAUGCCCCUCGGGAAUCUUCCAGCAUGUGUGGUGCGCGUCUCCUGCUCCACGGAAGCUGUGCCCAAGCCCCUGCAAAAGCCCCGUCGGGCAGCCCAGGGCAGGGGUCCCGUCUGGGUGAUGGAGAAGGAUCCCAGGGAGACCCACAACCCAGGGAGGAGGGGGAACAUGUGCCCCUCCCCCCCUGCCCGGUGGGCACAGGUGAGCCGGCCCAGGGAACAUGACCACGGGAGACGGUUGACCCUGGACCGCGUCCCUCAGGAUCCCCACCAGCCCUGCCUGGAGCCAGGAGCCCCGAGGCGAGUGCCACGUGUUGCUUCAGGAGCGAAAUCUCUUGUUUCUCGAGAAGAAGGCUGUCAGAGCCCGCGUCUCCUCACCGCCCUCCUGGCUUCCCAAGACUCGCCCACCGGCAUCUGCACGCGGACGUCUGGCGGACAUGUCCGCCCAGCGUGUCCCCGUCACCUCCAAAGCCCCCGUGCCAUCCCGUUCACCACACGUCACCACAUUCCCCCCGCGGCUCAGACGGGAGCCCCAGGACGAGCCCCAGGCCCCGCGGUCCCUCCCCCGAUAUCCAGCCAACGGUAAGAGGUGUCCGUUCACUCAGCCCGCGAGAGCUCGCAGGUCCUUCCACCUUCACGGGAACCAGCUCCGCCUUCUGGGCCUGAGCAGAUGCCCCCAGGUCCCCACCCCACCCCGCCGCCCCGCCACCCAGCCUCGGUGGCCUGUCAGCGGACAGAGGCUGCGGGCUCUGGCUCCUGCCGAGGUUGGCUCCCAGCUCCCCCAGGGUCUGGCGCUGCUCUGGGGGAGGGUCCCUCCUGCCCGUCCCAGCUCCCAGGGACCCCAGUGGCCCUCGGCUUGAGGCAGCGUCCCUGAGUGUCACUCUGGUCUCACUUGGCCUCCUCUCUCCUUCUCUGCUAAGGACGUUUGCCCUUGGAUUUUGUUCCCACCUAAACUAGGAUGAUCUCAUCUCAUGAUCCUUAACUUAAUUACGUCUACAAAGACUCUUUCCAAGGAAGGUCAUAGUGACAGACUCAGAGUAGGCAUAUCUUUUGGGGGCCACCGUUCACUCCACUAGAGUGUGUCCCUUGUCCUUCCCAUCUUCCAGCAUCUCCGCGCCUGCAAAAGCUUCACCUCACCUUCCUGCUUCCGAAGGCAGCGCCCUGUCUGUCUAUCUCGUCAUCCUCUGUGCCUGGAGUGGGUGAACACUGUAAAUGCCUGUCUUCUGCUCCAGGGAAUCCCAGGCAGGGUGUAGGCGGCCAGCAGGAGACUCUGCCAGGCCCCCUGACCCCAGACAAAUAGAAACCCAGGGUGGAGACUGGACCGAGCCGCCCCCACCGACCGCGUCCACAGGCCCCUUGGUCCGCGUGAGACCGCGAAGCUCAGGCUCCCCGAGGGGCCUGCACGACGGUGUGUGGCAGGUGCCCAGGCCUCUGCGGCUGGUCUGGGAGCACAGAGGCACGUUGGCACCAGAUGUGACUUGUGGGUGGGCACCAGCCCCUCGUCAGGCUGGCAGCUCGUUAAGGCAGCUCAGGAAGCAGCCGAGGGGGCGAGUUCACAGCGGCGGGCGGGGCGCACGCUUGGGUCUGACUCAUCAUUAUUUUACAGAAGUUCAAACACGAGGAGGAGGUGAACGUGUGACCCACUUCUGCCGGCUGAUGGGCACCGACACUGGCAGGAGUGCCAUGGCAACCAGACGCACGGGUUUCAUUACAGCAGCCCACGGCGCUUUCUCACCAAGAUUAAUGGGGAACAGACACUGUCACCUCUCGCAGCCGGGGAGGGGGGGCGGGGAAGGAGCAGCGGGCUCUGUUUACGAGCGGAGCCCCUGCGCACCCUGCCCUCCGCGGCCAGCUGCGCCCACGUACCUGCUGGGAGCCUGGGACACCCGGGGCCGCGAGGCAGGGCCGUGCCCGACCCCCUCCUCUGGUUCCCAAGGCCCCCAGUCCCAGAGGACGGGCCGGGCCCGCCACCCAGAGCGGGCCAGGGUCCCGGCCCGAGCCCCUGACGCCAGACCUGCUCCCCCACCCCCCGCCCCCACUGCCCCCCUUCACUGAACCGAGGCUGGCUACUAACCUUACACGUCUCUUCUUCCAGGGAGGCCUCCUUGACUCCCAGACCUCUGAUGUUCAGAUGUGGCCCAAAGACAGCCUCAGUGCAGAAACAGGAGCGUCUUGUUCCAAGUAGGAUUGACAUUGGUGAGCUCGAUGGGGCAUCCAUUGUGUCCUCCGCCCCAGAGUGAGGGCUGCCCAGGCGACAGGUCUCGGAUCCCCGAAACGGACUCCCAGAGAUGUGCUCGGGGAGAUACACAUCUCGAUCUGCAGUCUCAUUUGGAACUACAGGUCCACACGGUCUCAGCGCCCAAGUCAGUCAGGAUGGGUCUGCAAGGUCACAGGGACUUAAAACAACAAAGGGGUAGGUGUCGCUUACACACAGGGACCCCACGGGUCGGCCCACUCAUGGUGCAGGCCGCUGGGAAGCCCCGUGGGCAGUGCUGGUCCUGGAGGAGGAAGCCCCGCACCUGCCCCAGAGAUCGAACGUCACACCCCCUUCUGCUCAGAGCUCAUUGGUCGGAAGCGGUCACGUGGGGGGGGGGGAACCCCGGAAAUGCCUUCCCGCCAGCAGCUGAGAGGUGGAGAGCCACAACCACGUGGCGAACCACACUCAUGACAUCAAGCCAGGUGGCACCGGCGUUCAAGGCCCCCUCCAGCAACCAAGGUGUCCUCCCUAGAACACGCCCCGACACCACCUGUGCCCCCCUCCCAGGACUAAGCGCAGGGACUGACUGAGUGCUGGCCCAGUGCUCGGUGUUUGUUAAAUUAAUAAAUCAGGCCAUGCAGGGCUCCUGGGGGCUCAGUCGGUGAGGCGUCUGACUUCGGCUCAGGCCACGAUCUCAUGGUUCGUGGGUUCGAGCCCCGCCCGCAUCGGGCUCUGUGCUGACGGCUCGGAGCCUGGAGCCCGCUUCCGAUUCUGUGUCCCCCUCUCUCUCUGCCCCUCCCCCGCUCACGCUCUGUCUCUCUCUCUCAAAAAAUGAAUAAACAUUAAAAAAAACUUAAAAAUAAAUAAACCAGGCCAUGCAUAAAACUUAGAC